rnacentral:rRNA from 1 species
CAGCCGCCGCGGGAAUACGUAGGUGGCAAGCGUUGUCCGGAAUUAUUGGGCGUAAAGCGCGCGCAGGCGGAUCAGUUAGUCUGUCUUAAAAGUUCGGGGCUUAACCCCGUGAUGGGAUGGAAACUGCUGAUCUAGAGUAUCGGAGAGGAAAGUGGAAUUCCUAGUGUAGCGGUGAAAUGCGUAGAUAUUAGGAAGAACACCAGUGGCGAAGGCGACUUUCUGGACGAAAACUGACGCUGAGGCGCGAAAGCCAGGGGAGCGAACGGGAUUAGAUACCCCAGUAGUCCCUGUCUCUUAUACA